GAGAUGAUUUACUCUGCCAGGCGGCAGCACUCGAAGCACACAGGAUCCUGAACCUCAACAACGACCCCUACUUUUCUGGGCCCUAAUGUAAGAUCAAUCACGCCUGUUACUUAGUUUUCCAGUUGGAUUCACUUAGCUCACUUGGAUCAUAGGUAGUUCUUCCUCUAAUUAACCAUAGAAAAGUUUUUAUGAAUUAUGAAAUGUUUGCUUGUUGUUUCUGCAAUAUGAUGUUUGUGCUUACCAUCUUCUAUUGUUUCCUAUGUUUUUCUCAGUUAUUCAAAGAACACUACAUGUCACAUGAAUUCAAAAUUACUUCUCUAGAGGUAAUUAUUAGAACCAGCUUCUUGAGUUUGCUUGCUUAGCAUGUAGUAGUAUGCUGAUUUCAUCGAUUACAGUAUGAAUGCUUAUAAAAUGAUGAUUCUAUCGAUUUUGUGGGAUUUUGUGAUUCCUAUGGAAUUAAGAUUAAGAGCCCACCUAUUGGCCUGGCCCUAAUGUAAGAUCAAUCACGCCUGUUACUUAGUUUUCCAGUUGGAUUCACUUAGCUCACUUGGAUCAUAGGUAGUUCUUCCUCUAAUUAACCAUAGAAAAGUUUUUAUGAAUUGUGAAAUGUUUGCUUGUUGUUUCUGCAAUAUGAUGUUUGUGCUUACCAUCUUCUAUUGUUUCCUAUGUUUUUCUCAGUUAUUCAAAGAACACUACAUGUCACAUGAAUUCAAAAUUACUUCUCUGGAGGUAAUUAUUAGAACCAGCUUCUUGAGUUUGCUUGCUUAGCAUGUAGUAGUAUGUUGAUUUCAUCGAUUAUAGUAUGAAUGCUUAUAAAAUGAUGAUUCUAUCGAUUUUGUGGGAUUUUGCGAUUCCUAUGGAAUUAAGAUUAAGAGCCCACCUAUUGGCCUAGCCCUAACGUAAGAUCAAUCACGCCUGUUACUUAGUUUUCCACUUGGAUUCACUUAGCUCACUUGGAUCAUAGGUAGUUCUUCCUCUAAUUAACCAUAGAAAAGUUUUUAUGAAUUGUGAAAUGUUUGCUUGUGUUUCUGCAAUAUGAUGUUUGUGCUUACCAUCUUCUAUUGUUUCCUACGUUUUUCUCAGUUAUUCAAAGAACACUACAUGUCACAUGAAUUCAAAAUUACUUCUCUGGAGGUAAUUAUUAGAACCAGCUUCUUGAGUUUGCUUGCUUAGCAUGUAGUAGUAUGCUGAUUUCAUCGAUUACAGUAUGAAUGCUUAUAAAAUGAUGAUUCUAUCGAUUUUGUGGGAUUUUGCGAUUCCUAUGGAAUUAAGAUUAAGAGCCCACCUAUUGGCCUGGCCCUAUUUAAUAUUUUUGGUGCACUCCUAUUUCAUAAAUGAAGCAGUAGGCAAUUAUGUAUGAAUGUUUCAACAGAACUAGAAUUAGUAAACGGUUGUCUGCUAAUGAUAUUUGCUGCCUCAAUUUUGGCCUACCUUUUGGGCAAUGCCAUCUCCACAAAUCUGAGCCCAAUAUUUUGAAUAUACAUUCCAUCGUUAUUUGGGACUGCUGUUCUUAGUUCCGUGACUUUUUGGCUCUGUAGGUCUGAAGGCAAAAUUUUAAUACAUCUAAGAUGUCCAUCCAUUUUUUGUUCUUUGAACUGUUGUUUGUGCCAUAGAUUACUUUUAAGUUUGCCUUGCCAGUCACAGUUUCAGUUUAUGAUGGGCCUUGGAGUUGAGAAGCUACAGUUUUAUUGAUGCUUGAAGAUUUUAUAAAUGGCAUCUGCGGAACAUCUAAAAGAAUUUUUUAGUGUGUAUUUUUUUAGUUAUCAUUCGUUCUAUCUUUAUCUUCAGUUCUUCAGUCUUAUCUUGGUGGUAGGGGAUUGUUGUAUAAGUCUGUCAAUAUUUCUCAAUAUCCUACUUAAUUCAUUCAUUCUUUUUAUCUCGUCCCUAAUUAAUUCAUCCAUUCAUACAGUUUUAUUGAUGCUUGAAGAUUUUAUAAAUGGCAUCUGCAGAACAUCUAAAAGAAUUUUUUAGUGUGUAUUUUUUCAGUUAUCAUUCAUUCUAUCUUUAUCUUCAGUUCUUCAGUCUUAUCUUGGAGGUAGGGGAUUGUUGUAUAAGUCUGUCAAUAUUUCUCAAUAUCCUAAUUAAUUCAUCCAUUCUUUGUAUCUCGUCCCUGAACUACAUGAGGCGGUUUUUUCCGGAGUUGCUUUAUUUAUUCCAUUACUUCUCCGGAUUUGGCCGGAGUCCUUUGCUUCAAGCUCUUGCCCCUGAUGGAAAAUUUUUAUGUUUUUUGGCAGUGUCGCCUCAAUAUAAAUACUAAGUUCCCCGUUCACUAGAUUUUAAUGUUUCAUGAAGAUGGUCUGGUUUUCACCUUAGGUUCAGUUACAUGCAUUUUGUUGCAUGCAUUGUUUUUUGAUCUAUGUCGCUCUAUGGGAUGCGUUUGUUUUUUCCAGUUGUUCACUUCUUUUUUUGUUCUUGUGCUAUUUUCAUAUCUGGGAUCCAUAACACUCACUCUUUUUUGUGUGUAAUCUAUGGUCAUCCAGAAAAUACCAAGGAAGACUGGUGGGACUAUGGUUUGGCAAGGAGAGCUUUACUAGGACUGAGUAUGACGAACAAGUAUGGAUGCAAGAAAUUUCUCCUGAAAAUAGGACUUGAGGUUGGUACGGACGUCCUACUUAUAUUAAAGACGAACGUCGUCGAUGAUCUGUACAUGAUAGUUUGCCUCAAUGACCUCUGAGAGGUUCAUAGGUCCUAAUUGAGGUUAUCUUCAAUUCAUUAGUUUUUAUCUCUGCUAUGUUAGCUCUUUUGCGAGGGUCCAAAUUGCUUACCGCUUUAGAAGAAACACACUUCCAGCUAUUUCUAAAGCUAUUAGAUCAAAAGAUUAAAUAACUUUGGUUGUGAUGAUGAUAAAUAAGCUCUUUGGAUAGUAGAGUAUGCCAAGAAACUCUUGACUCCCUUUAUCAUAUAGCUCGGCUCUCUCCUAUUUUCACGAAUGGUCUAGCUUGCCUGAUUGUGCCUCCAUAAUUUAGAGAAGUUUUUAAUAUGCCAUUCUCAAAAUAUCUUAUGUCCUUCCUGUUAUGUAGUGGCGAAGAAACAAGGGCUUCCCCAAUAUUAUGUGCUUAUUUCUGCAGUAUUUCAUAUGCAACAGUUCUACUAACGUUUAAUGAUUCAUUCUUAUUAAAGUAAGCAAGUAAGAACCAUGUUGUAUCCACCCAUUUGGUGCAGAUAUUCUCCAUGUUUGAUGGCCAUGACCGAGGUUUGAUGUUUUUGUAUUUGCUGGGAUUUGAUAGGACCAGGAGUCCAGGACCAUGAUACUCGUAGUAUCGUUCCAUGGCACUGACAGGUACGUCAUAUAUUUGAUGAUGCAGCCCCUACCUUUUUGUAAUUUUUAUUUAUGAGGCAUCUCCUAUCUUUGGCUUGGGGUUAUUUUUGGCAGGCCUAUUGUUUGCUGCUUGUGAUGAUUGAUAGAGGUUUUGGGUCUAUGUUUAAGCCUCGGUGAGGUUUUGGGUCUCUGUUUAAUCCUUGGUUCAUGAGGAUCCAUAUAUAGGUGGUUCAUAUGUUAAUUGGUUAUGAUUUCCUUGUGUUGAUUGGUGGCCUUCGACGGAUUCGUGCAACUAUAUGCAUUACUCAUGUUUGUUGCUUUCCCAGUGAAACAUAUCACAUGCUCAGCAAGAAAACAAAGUCUCAGCCUACUACCUGCAAGACUUUAGUCUUUAAUGACUAAAUGAACGGAUCACAUGUAAGACAGUUUCUAAAAUCGUUUCCUAUGUUGUAUCCUCAGAUGCACUGCUCGGGCCUUGCUCGCCUUGCAUACAAAUGUCAUCCUUUAAUUGUUUUGUGUUUGUCCUUAUGGUUUACUGAGUAUAAAUGUCGGUGUUGUGUUAUUGAUAUGUGCAUUCUCCUUUAAGAUUGUACAUGCCCUGUUUGUCAUCACCACUCUCGACAUAUAUAGCUCACUUUACCGAAAGUUUAUAUCCUGCUCAAAAUUUAAAGAAUAGAUGUGCUCGAUUUCUUCAACACAUCCUAUGAUUAUCUAUUCUUUAUUUUCCAGUAUUGAUCACCCUUAUCAACGCAUUACUGGUAUGUUGAACACGAUGUGAUACAGAAAACAAAUAAAGGUUGUCUUUCAAGAUAUAGAGCAUAUUGGCCAAGCCUGGACAAAAAACAUCAAAAUGUAGCAUGGUAACUUAGUGUUAGUUUGCUUAUGUAUUGUUUGAUACAUAUGAACAAUGAGCUCAAGAGGACUUUAUUUAUCUACUGUUGUAUACUUCAAUAUCACCUGUGGAUAUGCCUUUGAAUGUCCACAUCUAAUUGCUUUAUCAUCCCCAACAUCCAGGAUACAUAGAUGGGGAAUGCCAUUGCUCAAAGGCGAGCAUACGUGACCUUGUUGAAGGAGUUUUGCCCUCCGUUUGUGUCUCAAAUGUCGAUGAUGCCCUCUGUGCUAUCACUCGCAUGUCCUUUUUAUUUUGUUUAUUCAGCGAAUGUUGGAUUAGACAAGGAUUUAUUCACGUUGGAUCUGUACAACUAUGGACUAUUCAUGCAAUUUUUUAUUCAAACUUUGAAAUGAGAGAAUUGGAUGCUGGGUUGUUGCAUGUUUUUUCUUGAUGUUAGAUUAUCUAUUGCCAUUUUUAUGUGUUC
rnacentral:lncRNA from 1 species